ACUCCUACGGGAGGCAGCAGUGGGGAAUUUUGGACAAUGGGCGAAAGCCUGAUCCAGCAAUGCCGCGUGUGUGAAGAAGGCCUUCGGGUUGUAAAGCACUUUUGUCCGGAAAGAAAUCCUUGGCUCUAAUACAGUCGGGGGAUGACGGUACCGGAAGAAUAAGCACCGGCUAACUACGUGCCAGCAGCCGCGGUAAUACGUAGGGUGCGAGCGUUAAUCGGAAUUACUGGGCGUAAAGCGUGCGCAGGCGGUUUGCUAAGACCGAUGUGAAAUCCCCGGGCUCAACCUGGGAACUGCAUUGGUGACUGGCAGGCUAGAGUAUGGCAGAGGGGGGUAGAAUUCCACGUGUAGCAGUGAAAUGCGUAGAGAUGUGGAGGAAUACCGAUGGCGAAGGCAGCCCCCUGGGCCAAUACUGACGCUCAUGCACGAAAGCGUGGGGAGCAAACAGGAUUAGAAACCCGUGUAGUCCC
rnacentral:rRNA from 1 species